UGGAGUCUCCCCCUGCUGGAAGGUAGAGAGAAUGCAGCUUUAAGGAGUCUCCCCCUGCUGGAAGGUAGAGAGAAUGCAGCUUUAAGGAGUCUCCCCCUGCUGGAAGGUAGAGAGAAUGCAGCUUUAAGGAGUCUCCCCCUGCUGGAAGGUAGAGAGAAUGCAGCUUUAAGGAGCUUCAGCCUUGGCUUCACUUCUCAUACCUGGAAGCUUCGUCCAUUAUUU